AAAUAUAAAGCAAAAAGUGCAUUUAGUUUCGACCUAAAAGAGAGAUUUAUUUUUAAAUCUAUAUUUU
rnacentral:tRNA from 2 species